GCGAGGGUGGCGGAAUUGGCAGACGCGUACGGCUUAGGACCGUAUGCCGAAAGGCUUAAGGGUUCAACUCCCUUCCCUCGCA
rnacentral:tRNA from 1 species